rnacentral:rRNA from 1 species
UACGGGGGGGGCAAGCGUUGUUCGGAAUUACUGGGCGUAAAGGGCGCGUAGGCGGCCUGCUAAGUCGAACGUGAAAUCCCCGGGCUCAACCCGGGAACUGCGUCCGAUACUGGCAGGCUUGAAUCCGGGAGAGGGAUGCAGAAUUCCAGGUGUAGCGGUGAAAUGCGUAGAUAUCUGGAGGAAUACCGGUGGCGAAGGCGGCAUCCUGGACCGGAAUUGACACUGAGGAGCGAAAGCCAGGGGAGCAAACGGG